rnacentral:rRNA from 1 species
AUUGAACGCUGGCGGCAGGCCUAACACAUGCAAGUCGAGCGGAGCGGCGGACGGGUGAGUAAUGCCUAGGAGUCUGCCUGGUCGUGGGGGAUAACGUACGGAAACGGGCGCUAAUUCCGCAUACUCUCAGAUGAGCCUAGGUCGGAUUAGCUAGUUGGUGGGGUAAAGGCCUACCAAGGCGACGAUCCGUAACUGGUCUGAGAGGAUGAUCAGUCACACUGGAACUGAGACACGGUCCAGACUCCUACGGGAGGCAGCAGUGGGGAAUAUUGGACAAUGGGCGAAAGCCUGAUGCAGCCAUGCCGCGUGUGUGAAGAAGGUCUUCGGGUUGUAAAGUACUUUAAGUUGGGAGGCGUUACCAACAGAAGAAGCACCGGCUAACUCCGUGCCAGCAGCGGCGGUAAUAC